rnacentral:lncRNA from 1 species
CCCUGCAGGUAAUUUCCCCAAACACCCCAAAACCUCCCAGCCCUGUGAGACUCCAGUAAUUCUUGUGAGACUCCAGUAUCCACUGGAGACCCAAAUAAUCUCAUGGGGGACACUUAUACCACCCUGGGGAACCCAAGAGCAUCCCCCCCACACACCAGGCACACCAGUAACACCCUGGGAACCCUACUGGUACCUCCCCAGUGUACCUCUGUUCACUCCAGUAUUCCUUGUGGUCCCCAAUACUCCUUUACAGCACUCCAGUACACCUUCAAGGCCCACCCUAUGCUCCCUGAAUACCUAAAAGACCCCCCAUGCAGCCCCUAUAAUGCUUCUAGGGACCCUAGAAGCCCCCUGCAUCUCCCAAUAACCCUUCCCCACACAAACAGACACUGCAGCUGCCCCCUGAGGCAACAUCGAAGGAGCUGUGGGGCCUGGAGCCCAUGGGCCACUACUGGGUGCAGUUGCAGAGCCAGGGGCUGGAGCCGGCCCCCGUGCCCCUCGAGGCCACCUUCGACACCCCGCCCCUACUCCACCCGUACCCCCGGGACUGCGUCGAGGAGCAGCUCAACGGACCAAGGCCUUCACGCGAGGCCCUCAUCUUCCUCGGGGGGGGACCGACAGCGGCCCCUGCGUGUCUUCUGCGACAUGGAGACCGAUGGCGGUGGCUGGCUGGUGCGGGCAGGGGGGCAGUAGGGGGCAUUGGGGGUGUCAGGGGACAUUCUGUGGGAAGCAAUAGCAGGCGGUACCCUCUAGGGAGGUAAUGAGGCCAGUGGGUUCCCUGACAAAUUUGGAGAGGUAACGGGAGGAGGGGCAACUGGGGUCACUGGGGGAGCAUUGGGGGUGUCUGGUGGGUUCUAUGGAGGAUAUUGUGCAGGGGUCUGGGGGGCAAUAAGUAUGGCCCUGGGGGUGCGAUUGUGGGCAUUUGGGGUAUCUAGGGAGGUUCUGUGGGAUGCAGUAGGGGAGGAGGGAGUAAGCAAGGAGGGGGGGGGAGGGGCUGGCAAACCUGGAGCAUAAUGGGAAGGGCCCAUGGAGCAACUGGGGUCACUAUAGGGAAUUGGGGGGUCUGGGAGGUUCAGUGAGGGGCAUUGAGGGGCCUGGGGGACAAUGGGGGGCAGUGAGGGGGAUCUAUGAGGGGUAGUGGGGGUAUCUGUGGUCCCAGGAGGUCCAAGAAGUACACUGAAGGGGGUUGAGGGGUCUGAGGGCUUGCUGGGGGGGGCAGGAGAGGUGUGGGGGGGACAGGGGGUGUCCUGACAGAUCUGAAGGGGUAACUGGGGGCAGAGGGGGUGUUCUCUAGAUGGUCUUUAGAGGGUAAUGGGUGGGGCUGUGGGGUGCACUAU